AACGCACCUUGCGCCUUUUGGUAUUCCGAAAGGCAUGCCUGUUUGAGUGUCAUGAAAUCUCAAUCCCCCCGGGUUUAUGAUCUGGGUUGGGACUUGGACUUGGGUGCUGCCGGUUACAUGGCUCGCCUCAAAUGACUUAGUGGAUCUCUCUGCAUCCGUGACAGACGUAAUAAGUUUCGUCUUGUCCCUUGCUGUCUGAGUCUGCUCCUAACCUGCCAUUGUGCACUUUUAGACUCUGACCUCAAAUCAGGUAGGACUACCCGCUGAACUUAA
rnacentral:misc_RNA from 3 species